rnacentral:rRNA from 1 species
GACGAACGCUGGCGGCGUGCUUAACACAUGCAAGUCGAACGGAAAGGCCCUGCUUUUGUGGGGUGCUCGAGUGGCGAACGGGUGAGUAACACGUGAGUAACCUGCCCUUGACUUUGGGAUAACUUCAGGAAACUGGGGCUAAUACCGGAUAGGAGCUCCUGCUGCAUGGUGGGGGUUGGAAAGUUUCGGCGGUUGGGGAUGGACUCGCGGCUUAUCAGCUUGUUGGUGGGGUAGUGGCUUACCAAGGCUUUGACGGGUAGCCGGCCUGGGAGGGUGACCGGGCGGGGGGGGGUGCACGCGCAGUGGGUGGGGGGGAUGCGGCCCAGGCUAGUAGAGGGGGCGGGAGGGGGGAAAAUGGACAGGGGGGGGAGGGCCGGGUGGAGCGCGGGCGUGGGGGGGAUGAGGGCCGGCGUUGGAUAAACCGCGUGCCCCGGUGAGGGAGUGGGGGUGAGAGUGUUGGGAAAAGCAGCACCGUGUAACUACGUGCCAGAAGCAGAGGGAAGAGACGAAGAGCAAACUUCAGAGC